UAGGGAAUUUUCCACAAUGGGCGAAAGCCUGAUGGAGCAACGCCGCGUGCAGGAUGAAGGCCUUAGGGUUGUAAACUGCUUUUAUCUGUGACGAAUAUGACGGUAGCAGAUGAAUAAGGAUCGGCUAACUCCGUGCCAGCAGCCGCGGUCAUACGGAGGAUCCAAGCGUUAUCCGGAAUUACUGGGCGUAAAGAGUUGCGUAGGUGGCAGAGUAUGUCUGUAGUGAAAGCGUUCGGCUCAACCGAAUAAACAUUAUGGAAACUGCUCGGCUAGAGGAUGAGAGAGGUUAUUGGAAUUCCCAGUGUAGGAGUGAAAUCCGUAGAUAUUGGGAGGAACACCGAUGGCGUAGGCAGAUAACUGGCUCAUUCCUGACACUAAGGCACGAAAGCGUGGGGAGCAAACGGGAUUAGAUACCCGUGUAGUCC
rnacentral:rRNA from 1 species